GAUGAACGCUGGCGGCGCGCCUAACACAUGCAAGUCGAACGAUAACAGCAACUUCGGGUGUGCAUAAAGUGGCGAACGGCUGAGUAACACGUGGGCAACCUGCCCCUUUCAUUGGGAUAGCAACGGGAAACCGUAGAUAAUACCGAAUACCACAAGACUUCCGCAUGGAAGACUCGAGAAAGCUCCGCCGGUGCGGGAUGGGCUGGCGGCCUGUUAGCUUGUUGGAGGGGGAGCGGCCUACCAAGGGAAUGACGGGUAACUGGGUUGGGAACAGGAACAGCCAGAUUGGGACUGAGGCACGGCCCAGUCGCCUACAGGGGACAACGGGGGGAAGUCUUACGCAGUGAGCGAGAGCGUGUGACGGCGACGCCGCGGGCGUAAAGUAGGCCUUGGGGUUAUGAACCGCUUUCAGCUAAUACGAUGCGAAAGUGACGGUACCUGCAGAAGAAGCCCCGGCUAACUACGUG
rnacentral:rRNA from 1 species